GGAGCCUGCUUGGGAUUCUCUCCUCUCUCCGCCCCUCCCCUGCUCACGUGUGCAUGCAUGCACAUGUGCUUGCUCUCUCUCCAAAUAAAUCAACAUUUAAAUACAUAAAAGGGCAAUUUUGGUUGCCUCUCAUCACAUCUACGUCGGUCAUGGUACCCUGAGAAAAUAGAAUGCUAACUCAAAAAGGUCUGAUUGAAUCUGGUGAAGUUUUUAUAUAAAAGGCAAGGACAGAAUUAAGGGGACCAAUAAGGAAUGCUGAGACACUCAGAGAGCCCCUGUGGGAAUCCUUUUACCUCCCCUAAUAUUGGGAGGCAAGAGGAGGAAAAGUUGUCACUAGAACCCUUCAUGAGGUCCUGAAGGAGCUGGUGCCUAGGAAGAGCUGUUGGGCUUUAAAGGAACAAAAGUAGCUACUACCAAAAUGUCAUCAGUGCUACCCAAACUGUCCGUGAGUCACUGUAUAACAGUAUCACAGGUGCUCUUUCUAUACAAAGAGAAAAUACAGUCAAGGUUCUGCCCAUUGAGCAGAAUUCCCUUCACCCCAGGCUUUCCUUUGUAAGGCUGUAACACAGGAAACUGGUGCUGCCAGCAGGUGCCUUCAAACACGCACAACUGUCCACAGUCCAUGUUUUCGCUGACUCUUUUCACUGGUUUCAGGGAACUCCCCUUAAAACCAUAGGUGUGAAACCCAGGGAGCAGCAGCUAGCAGCAGAAGUAGGUACAGUAAGAGUAUGAACCACAGGCUCAUAAAAUUUGCUUGUGCUAUUAAAGCUGUUUUGCACAAGUGUCCUAGGUUUCAUUUCAUUUAAGGAAAUGGAAUAUUGAUAUCUAAACCCAAAUAGAUGACUAAAUGUGUCCGGUAGCACAUAAUCAACAGUGGGAAGCUGAGGUUGCACGCCCACUUGAUUUUCCGUACUCACACAUUCCUUCCCUAUCAGCGUCUAUAGCAGACUAGGGCCUCAUUUCCAAAGGGUGUUGGCGGAGGUCACGGAGAGGGCGUGACCGCUGCUUGACCCCCGGAGCUAAACCCAGGCAGUCGGAGCCUCCCCACCACCACCUGUGCCUGUAAUGUACCUCUAACACGUGCUCCCACCACCGGAAGCUGUUUGCCGGGACGCAGGCUUUAGAGCACUGUGUUCCUGAGCCCACCUGCUCAGUAUACCAUGGCUGAACCCAGUGAAGGCCUCUGUAAACUUUAAGAUUCUGGUGGUCAGGGUGCCCGGCUGUCUCAGUCUGUAGAGCACGCGAUUCUGCAUCUCUCGGAGUCAUGAGUUCAAGCCCCACAUUGAGUGUAGGACUUACUUUAAAAAAAAAAAAAAGAAAAAAAAAGAUUCUGCACUGGGGCGCGGAGAUCUCAUCUUUGAGCAUCAAAACAAGCCUAGCAGGAAAAGGCUUGGAGGAAUCACUGUAAUCCCUUCUGGCUGCAUUGCAGGGACAUCUUUCAAUGUGACAUAGCCUCCCCAUCAGUCAAGGCUUUCUGGGUUUCUGAACUGACUGGAGUGUAGGAACUGGGUUUCCUGUUUGGGGUAGGAAAGUGAGAAAAAGAGGAAGUUUAAGAUGGAGUAGAGGUUACAAAGAACCAGAUGAUAUCUCAGGAGAGAUUCAGGAUUGUUGAGGAUCAACAAUUGUUGACAUAAGUGAACAACUGGAUUGUUGAGAGAGAGAGUAGCUGAAUGUUUUUUCCUGUCACCAUUACUGAGAAUUCACAUCUGUAGUCAUCAGAAGUUACAGGCAGAAAAGAACUAAAUGCCACCAUCGUAUAAUUCUUCUCUGGAAACACUGACUGCAAAAUAUGUACUAAGUGUGUGAAUGGUCUGUCCCUGGAGGAGGAAAAG